rnacentral:rRNA from 1 species
AAAUUGAAGAGUUUGAUCAUGGCUCAGAUUGAACGCUGGCGGCAGGCCUAACACAUGCAAGUCGAACGGUAACAGGAAGCAGCUUGCUGCUUUGCUGACGAGUGGCGGACGGGUGAGUAAUGUCUGGGAAACUGCCUGAUGGAGGGGGAUAACUACUGGAAACGGUGGCUAAUACCGCAUAACGUCGCAAGACCAAAGAGGGGGACCUUCGGGCCUCUUGCCAUCAGAUGUGCCCAGAUGGGAUUAGCUAGUUGGUGAGGUAACGGCUCACCAAGGCGACGAUC